rnacentral:lncRNA from 1 species
ACAAGACCUCAGGGAAGUAGGUGACCGGGAUCCCCAAGAUCUCCGGGCACCAAAAAAUCGAGCUGAGAAGACAAAAGCAAUGUAAAGCCAAAAGUACCGACCUGAGACACGCAAAUAUAAGCCUGAAAAAGCAAGCAAGAAAAGGGCCAAAAUCAGAAAGCUCAAGGGCAAACUGAAGCUACAAGCCUCCUAUGAUCCAAGAGGAAACCUAAAGCAUGAGCAGACAAGGCCCCAGCCUCGAUUCCUAUCAGAAUAGAACUAAAAACAAAAAGGCCAGCCCUGCUCAUCACUUUAAAAGGUACAUGAUCCAUUUCACUUUGGUUAUAUGAAUGUUAUACGUCUGAGCUCGCAUUGUGGACGAGUUAACAGAAUAAAAAAUAAUAAGAAUGCCUGUACGAGGUUGUAGAAACUCGUGAGUUGGAAGUUUAGUCAAUUGUUAAAAAUCGAACUCAUGGUGAAGACCUGAUAUGUUUGAACCCUGCGGGAGAUUAUAAACACGUAGCUUAAAGAUUUUUAUCCU